rnacentral:misc_RNA from 1 species
UAUUGUACAUCAGUUACAUGUUCCAAAAUUGUGGUCAUUUUCAAGAAGUUGCCUUUGAUCUUUAACUAAGUUUCCUCUAGACAUUUGGAGCAUCCACAUCUGAAACCAUAGUCUGCGAGUAAUGCCUGUCUCUCUUCAAAAGGAAGGUCCUCGUCGAUAUAUGAAAUAGUUAUCUCUUCUCCUUUGGCAAUGGGUUGAAGAGCAAUUAUGGUUGCUUGGCCAUCUCGAUCCUCUUCUCGCUUAAAAGCUUUUGCAUUAGGUCUGCAGGAAUGGUUCAUACAGCUUUGCAAGGGGAAAAACGCAGUACCUUGACAACAAAUUGAAUAGUCAUCACCAAGAGCAUCUAGGAUAGGCUUUGUAGUUUGCUCAACCUCUCCCUUUUCAGAGAGAGGAAGAUCAUCAAUAUACAGAAAGUAAUCCUCCACUGGUGACUCUACCACCAAAUCAAGGUUAUUCAGCUCAAACAUGCCAAUGAUAUUGCCAUAUAUUUCAAGCGAGAAUAAUGGCUGGCAUUCCUCAUCAAAGAUAGCCUCCUUGAGAAGCUGCAGAGACGUUAAUGCCAGCUCCUUUAUUUGCAUUCGGAAUGAAGCUUCAUCAGAACCAUCAACAUCAGCUGGUAAAGCAAUGCAAUCCCACCACCUUCGUUUGUAGCCCAUGGACACGGGCUUCCAUGCCUCCCCCAGUAAAGAAAAAUCAAUACUUUCUGAAAUAACCUGCUUCCCUUUUCCCUCAUGACGACUUUCUUUCAAAUUCUUAUGUCUCAAAAUGGUGAAAGAAAUAACCUUUGCUGCAAGAAGGAAAAUGUCAUUUGUAUCAUUAGCAUGUUCUAUAAAUUUCUGAAGCGCCUUUGUGCUUAAUGACUUUGACCCCUCCCCCGUGCACAGCAAAGAAUGAAAAGACUCCCAAUCAGCCUCUGCACAAGAUUUGCUGCAAUAGUAGUUCUCUUUACAUCCACCUGGACAAGAAACAAUUGGAGGCAUUGAGAAUUUCUCAGAAUAUGGUAGUCGCAUCUCACCAUUAAACAAU